GACAGAGGUGCCGAGCGUUAGGCGGAAUCACUGGGCUUAAAGCGUGUGUAGGCGGGCGGGCAAGUACCUUGUGAAAUCCCACGGCUCAACCGUGGAACUGCUGGGUAUACUGCCUGUCUUGAGCCAGCCAGGGGCAGUCGGAACAGACGGUGGAGCGGUGAAAUGCGUAGAUAUCGUCUGGAACGCCAAAGGUGAAAACAGACUGCUGGGGCUGUGCUGACGCUGAGGAGCGAAAGCGUGGGGAGCGAACAGG
rnacentral:rRNA from 1 species